rnacentral:lncRNA from 1 species
ACAUUAUUUUGGAUAAAUGUGCAUAAAACUUGCCUCUAGGCUUAUCUUUGUUUAUUAUUUGUAGAAUAGAAUAACAAAUAAGGUUGCUGACAGUGAACAAGGGAACAUCAACAUAAUUGCGGCUGCGAAUGCGAUUUUCUGGAUUUUUUAAUUUUUCAUUUCUUUGUAUCCUAAACACUAUCUUUAUCCCAAAUUUCAAGUUUCCAGGGCUGCUAGAAGUACCACUGAUUUUUGAUGAUCAGUCAGUGUCGAAAAAACAAAAUUUUGAGUACAUAUAUCUUUUGAAUUAGAAAAGAUACAAGUGUGAAAUUUAGAGGUUUCGUUCCGUUUACAAACUACUCUAGAUAAAAAAAUUUCAGGUUCUUGGGCAACUCUAACACAAAGAUAUGGAGGUGUCAAAAGUACCGAGUUCCUUCCAGAAAAGGAUGGUACGGCCAUGCUUGCUCAACUUGGCAGGGACACUGCUGUGCCCCCAGAUAAGAAUUAGGUCUGUCUCAUUUGUCAGCACAAUAAAUUAUUAUCUGAUUUGGAUAAAACUCAUUUGUUAUAUGUUAUUAGGUGCAUUAGAGGACCAAGCAUAUAGAGAAGGUCAGUUCAAUAUGAGCGAAGAUAUUUCAUUUAUUUUGAGUAGUAUCACGGAUAAAUAUUAUUCACUCUAAAUAAUGUAUGUAUAUAUAUACAUACAUGCAUACAUUGGAACUUUAUAAAAUCAAAUAAUGAAAAACUUUGAUUUGAUUUGUUGAUCUUAAAGAUCAGAAAUUUUUUAUUUUAAAAAC